UUGGAUUCAAUUAUUAUCGUUGAUGACGAAUUGAUCGCGCUAUGUAUUAUGUAUUUUAAAAUUUAAAACUAAUUUAUUUAAUUUUUUUCUUUUUACAGUGUGUAAGUACAAACAUUAUAUCGUUGACGAUGAAUUGAUCGCGCUACGUAUUAUGUAUUUUAACAUAUACAUAGCCGCCAGAAAGUUUGGGUACGAUGAAUUAAUUUCAUACAAACUUUGUGAUCUACAUUUCGUCUGAAUAGACCAUCUAUCAGAAAUGACUCUUUCAUGAUCUGCGACACGUGUGAAAAACGGCAAUUUGUCUGAAAAUCGUUAAUCGUACUCAAACUUUCUGGUUGCAGUGUAUACGAAAAGAAAAUUUAAAUUAAUUUAUUGAAUUUUUGUUCUUUUUUCAGUUUGUAAGUACAAAAAUUUAUUUGUCUUUGCGAUGAAUUCAUUCGGAUUCAGUCAGAUUCGAUUAUUAUCAUGAUGAAUUGAUCGAUCGGAUAUUUUGAAAUAUAUAAGAAAUGAAAAUGUAAAACUAAUUUAUUGAUUUUUUUCUUUUUACAGGAUUAUGAUUAAGGGAGUACAAGAAGUCAUAAAUAAUGCGGCCAGAAAAGAUAUAUCAACAUCAAGGUUAUCCCAAUGGCGCACGAAUAUAAAUUAUAACUGGAAUAUGAAUUGUAUAUUAUUUGAUUUAAAAGAUCUUGGUUUUUAACGAGGGAAUGUAUUCCACUCUUUUCCAAGCUCAUAUACUUGUAUCGUCAUCUUCUUAAAGGCUGACGUUAAAACUAUUCAAUAAAUAAAAUGAACAAAAUAAA